GGAAACCAUGGUAACAUCAGUGCUUCUGUUGAGCACAGUGGUCACUCAAAAGAGGCAGAGUGAGUUCAGCCUAUCAUUUGAGAUCCGAGUAUGAUUGGGGAAAUAUCCUGAAAUAGUCUAUGAUUUGAAGAAAUGGAUAGAUGGCUAGAAUAACAUGCUAGAUGGUAGUCAAGUUACUAACUGCAGAAUUGAUUUGAUAAAAUUCUCAUCGUGUCUCCUGACUUAGGAGAAAUAUUGGGUCUGAUGAAUGGGUAAAAUUCCCAGGUGAAAAGAAUUUGGUCUGUAAGAUUUGGCAGCACCCUGAGGUUUGCCAUAUCUGAUGGCCUGGCUUUAGUGGCAGCACCUAGUGAAGGCCCAGGUGUCCUUCUGACAACCUUUACCACCUACCGUUUUGUCCUUACUUAUGUUGAAUCACUACACACAGGCUGUUGAAUUCAGCUGUCUGUGGAGAAAUUAUACCAACCACAUGGUUAGACAGAAGGAAUACAAUAUAUUGCUUAAUUUGUAUCUGAAAGCUAAGCAACAUGGAAAAAAAUCAAGCAUGCUCAGUCACUUCCAUGAGGACAAACGAAGACACUUCAAGAUAAUGAUUGAUACACCUCCCAUGCCCCACCUCUCACCCAGGACAGGAUCGAAGUGUUGGGGGAGCCACAACCUGCUUCACCUAGAAAGAGGACAUUGACAUGGAUCUGCCAGCUUUCUAAGACUUUCCCCAGAUUCAAGUCCAGUCACAUCAAGUUGCCUUAUUAAAGGGUCUGCCCACUCAAAAGGAGAAAGUGCAAAAGAUGCUCAGCAAGGGUAGCAAACGCAGUCAGAUGAUACUUCCUGACAGCAUCCAAGAGCAAGUCUCACCACCACAUCUGUCAAUAAAAAAGAAAACAAGGAGCUGCCAAUUUGUCUAUUUAUAGGUGCCAAUAAAAUCCUGCACAGAACUUUAGUCAACAAGACUAUUUCAGAAGGGGUGGCCAACAGUGUGGCCUUUCACUGGCAAGGGCCACCUUUGUCAUCACUUAAGAAAGAAAACCUGCCAAGUUUUCUGUGAGGCCCUCAAUAAAUCUUACUGAGUAUUUCCAUACACAUCAGCCACCUUAACUUGAGGAAAGCCAACUUGUGGCCAGAUCCUUCACAAACACCUGGAAACUAGUGUGGCUUCUGGUUCUAGCCAUUCGGUAACAGCUCUGAGGCUGAAUAAAUUGGACGUGAGAAUGUGACAGUGAAAGACGGCUUGGGAACACCCAGGGUCUGAAUAAAGCUUAGAAAAUACACCACACCUUUAUAGAAAAAGUAGAUUUCUGUUUUAUAAGGGAAAGAUUGGCAGGAGUUCCAGGCCAGCUGCCCCCAAGAAAGAGGUAACUAUUUAAGCCAAUAAGGUUUCCAUCUACACAAGUGCUCAAGUGGAAACCAGCCAACCAGAGUUA
rnacentral:lncRNA from 1 species